GCCCUGGUAGUGUAGUGGCCUAUCAUGCGAGCCUGUCGAGCUCGCGACUCGGGUCCGAAUCCCGACCGGGGCG
rnacentral:tRNA from 1 species